UAAGAUUGUAACAUUUGGAGCAGACAUAUAUGUCAAUUCAGGAAUCCUGAUUUUAUGUUGUUGAUUUUUAUUUAUGAUCAAUUAUCAAAACACCUGCUAAGAGUCGAUUGAUUUGUGUUUUGAGAAGACACCAUAGACGCUAAUGACACAUACGUAGCUAGGCCUAACAGAAGUAGGCAAGAUCAUUCUAAACACCAGCUUAACAGAAUUACUGGAAAGAUCAUUCUAAACACUAUUCGCACAUUUGCCUACGACCCCAUCAUCAUAGGUCUCCUGUAGCUCUUCCACAAGCUUGAGCAAAGCCAUGGCCGAGGUUCCACCGUGGCUCACCGCUGACUUGGCUGCUUGCUGCGCCCACACAGCCCUCUCCCGCAUCCGCUUCGCCGCCUUGCUUUCAGCGUCCAUCAGCUCCCGAACCUUCUCCUCCACCUCCGCGCUCCCGACGACGUCAGCGCCAACCUUCAGGGCUAUCCUGACGCCGGCGCCUAAGAUGUUGGCCACGUGCCUUGCGUUCAGGUGCUGCUCCGCGAUCAUCGGCCACGCCAGCAUGGGCUUCCCGGCGGCGAGGCUCUCCAUCACAGAGUUCCACCCGCAAUGGCUCACGAACCCACCAACUGCCUUAUGGGCCAGAAUACUUCUCUGCGGAACCCAUCCACGGACGAUCCGGUUGUUGGGCCCCACGUCCACCGGCGGCGACCACGUGUCAGAUCGGACGGCCCAGAGGAAGGGAUGGCCGGACUGCACCAGCCCGUGCACCAGCUCGUCCAGCUGCACGUCCGUGAUGUGGGCCUGCGUCCCGAACGAGAUGUACACCACCGACCCCGGAUGCGCCGCCCUCUCGUCGAGCCACGAGAGACAGCCCUCGGGGUCUUGCUCCUUCUUCUCGCCGUCCGGCAUGUCGCCGGCGGCCAUGAACAGCGGGCCCACGAGCCAGGCACGGGCGCCCGUCUCGUAGAAUGACUCCAAGGCCGACACGUAGGCCGCGUCGAGCGCGUCGAGGCUGUUGCUGAGGACUCCCCAGCUGCGCACGUCCGAAUCACCGAUCUCGUCCAUGAAGAAGCGCGUGAACGGGUUGUCGGGGUCGGCCCUCUUGGUGACCCCAUCGGGAACCUCCUCCGCCCUGACCGCCACGUGCUCCGGCAUGCCGGGCACCUGGAUCAUGGUCCCGGGCUCGAAGCUGGUCGGCGGGCUCGCAGCGAGCGCCUUGCAGAUCGCCGAGGCGAAGCAGGACAUGCCGUUGAACACGAUGCGGCGGACGCCGGCGUCGGCCGCCACGCGGCGCGUGAACCCGAGGAAGAAGUCGGAGACGAGCGCGAGCGGCGGGGACGGGAGCGACGCCAGGAACUCGGCGAACGGCCCGCGCAGGAGCCCCGUCGCCUGCAUGAACGUCAGGUGCAGCGACGGGCACGGGAGGGCGUCGGUGGACUCGACGCCCUCCGGCAGCGGCGGGAACGACGGGAACGGGAGCGCGACGAGGCCCACCGACGCGGGCAGACGGCUCCGGGCGAAGGCCACGUUGCCCGGGGUGGUGACCAGGGUCACGCGGAGCCUGCCGUGUUGCGCCGAGAGUGCCGUGGCGAAGUGGAGCAGCGGGAGCAUGUGGCCCUUCGCCAUGAAAGGGAAGAUGACGACGUGGUCGCGGCCUGACCUUGACACAGGAACGUUCAAAUCCCCGAUACGAACGAACUGCACGUAGGGGAGAAUGCGACAAACAGUUGGAAAGGGUUUUCUCACCAGCGACAGCUGCGAAGUAGUCUGCCCGCGGGGCGCAGCGGAAUCCGCGGCGGAGCUCCGACUCCGGCAUGAAAUCGCCACGCGCUCCGAUCACCACUUCGCCCGUUGAUACAACGGCCGGUUCUCUCGAGCGUUGCCGAACCCCACUGACCCAAUCGAUUGAGCCCAAGGUUCGCACGGCAGCGACGGAUCUCGACUCUCUCUCUCGCGGUGGUUCACGAAGGCAGAGAAGUGGUAGUUCGGCGGCUGGUGAAGGCGGUCUUAUAGCACAGAGAUGCGAGGGGGAAGAAGUCCGCGGCGCCGGAUCCUCGGCGAGAUCCAGCAUCGGCGGGUGGUUACGCCCGAGCCGGGCGCCAUUGCAACGGCCCUGGCGGAGAAGGCGGGCUGACGCCUGGGUCCCACGCAACGGUGACUGUGAACGCCCUCGGCGAGCGGAGCCCACCAGUUAGUGACCGGGAAAGAAAACGCGGCGCGGGAGGGUGCGACUGAUGCGCGGGUCCGGCCUGUCAGCGCCAGGCUGCGCGAGAGCGGGAGUUGGGCCGCCGCGGGUGUAAUUCGUUGGUGGGCCGAGAAACAAAGUUGAGGCCCAACAGGCAUUUUCUCUUGUUUUUCUUAUUUCUGUUUGAAUUUCUUUCACAAUUUCGAAUUUUGGUAUUUAAUUUAUGAAUUGUUCAUGAGUUUCACACACAAUUCAAGUGCACAAACAAAAGUCCCAGCAUGAUGCAAUAUUUUAUUUUACUAUUAUUUUCAUUUUAUUUCAUUAUUUAUUAGGGAAUUUAUCCAUGACAAUUGGUUUUUUUAUACAUGUGUGUGCUCAAGGAAGGGAAAAAAUGCAUAUAAUGUACAUCCAAAACUCUAUCUCCUUUAUUUAUUACUAGGUCUAUGUCCGUGCGUUGCUACGGGAGUAAAAAAUUAGUAUGAAACAUAUAUACAGAACGACAAACAUCAUUGUCCCUCUAAUUGGUUGGACGCAUCGUUUCAUCGUGAGUCACUGCAUGCAUUGAUUUUAUCUAAGCAUUUGUUUGGUGAGGGAAUGUUGAAACACUAUCUAUAUAUCUAUUCAGAUGACUGAAAAAUCUUUGUUGCAAAAUAGUUCUUUGCUUUCCAGUUUAGUUUACUACUAUUAUGAACAUUGAUGGUAUUUACUUGAUCUUGUCCAAAGCAGUCCAUGUUCAAAUUCAUUUGUGGGGUAUAUGGUGUCUCCAAUAUGCUCUAACUUAACUUCAGAAGAGGUUUACUUUCAGUGUGUGUGCGCAUGGGGUAGGGCGAAUGACAAAAGGCAGUGUUGUACAUAAAUAAUAGCUUUUGAAAACUUGGCUAGUUGAUUUAGCAGAGAUGAUUUGGCAGCUAGGUUAAUUAGAACCAAAUGAUUUUCCCAUGUUAAGUUAAUUUCUUCUUUGGAGAUGGACAAGAGUUUUAUGCAAUAAGAAAAAAGCAAAGCAGAAGGAUAUGCAGGAAUAUGCUCUUACUUAAAUUCAGAAGAGGCUCUAUUAUUACUUUUAGUGUGUAUGUGUUUGGCUGCAGGGGGUAACCAGUAACAAGCAUAUAUGUAGUGGCAAGAGACUAUAUAAUAAUUUUAAAGUUGAUGAUUGCUAGGGGAGACUACUAAAGGAUAAAAAAUCGUCAAAAAAAUUAAAACGCUUGCUUCGUCAUUUUUCUGAAUACUAAAGGAUAAAAAAACUUCUCAACCAUCCCUAUCUUUCCAGUAAUUUCAAGGGAGCUGAGCUGAUAGGGAUGGUUGGUAGAACGAUGAGAGAAGCGUGAACCAUUCCGUGCAAGGAAAAUCACCGCCAAAAGAUAGACGGUACAGAAGCUGGAGUCCAUAGAAACAACACUAGGGUGUUUUCUUGGGCUUAUUUCUAGCUUCCUAGAAGGUGUUGUGGACCGUCAAACGUCUAUCUUUUCAGUCUAUUUUUAUAAGAAUCGUUUUGGUGAAAACAGUUCAAAACCAACAUGAACACAAAAAACGAUCGUCGUCAUAAAAGUAGGAAACUGUCAAUUUCUAGAUCAUAAGAAUGUCUCCAACAGAUAGGGGGACGCAGAACUGUAGAUGACACGAAGACAUUGUUUAUAGAGUGGAGUUUGAAACAAAAGAUAAGAUUGAAAAUAAAGUUGAAGAUACCCUGUGAACUCCUCACUUAAUACCCAUGAUAUUCAGAAUCUUCUGGUGGCUAGCUUCUCUCCGCAUCCGUAUUCAGAAAAAAGACGAAACAAGUAGACCCCUAGUCUGCUAGAGCUUAGCAGGCGCUGACAUCAGGAAUUCAACUCGUUGGGUGGAGGUGUUAGUGUUAGGAGUUGUAAGAUGAAGAAGAGGCGCAUCAUCAGGUGUUACAAAGGAGUUUCUAUCUGUUUUUGCCGACCUGAGUGUUGGUAGUGAGAAUUUAAGUAUACAGAGGUUUUGUAUAGGGUUCGUCCAUUACUAUGUAACUUGGUCGUGAAAUUGAAAACGCUCAACAUACCGAAAACAGAUCACUGGAAAGAAACAGCUUGAUGCAGGAUACUUGAGUUCCAAUAUCUACUGUAGUUUGUUGGUUAGUGUUUUUCAGUUUUAUUUAAUGGAUUUCAUCAACUUUCAGAGAACUGAUAGACAGUUUGGCUUCCGCGAACUCGUAGGCAUCCUGAAUAGAGCCAUACAACUACCCUAUCAAUUCUACGGAGUAGAACGAUUGGUCUAUGCAGCAUCAAGGGAAGCGCAACCAUGUUCGUACCUACGACGGUUGCGGCGUCCGGCCUCGCGCGCCUUGCGCUUCUUCUCGUCCGUCUUGCUCUCGUACCUCCGGCGGCGCUUGAUCUCCUACAGCACGUCGGCGCGCAUCACCUCCCGCAGGAACCUGCAGAAGAUGGACUCCUCCCCCUCGUUCUCAUCCACCAGGAUCUGCACAUUGUACCACUUGGCUGCCACCACCACCGUCUGCAGGAGGCCAAGCGCGCGUGGCGGGCCAUCGCCAUGGAACUUCUACGGCCAGCUCGACCUCCUCGUCAGCACCACUCUCACCGGCAUCAAGAAGUCGUCCCCACCACGUGCCGUGCCACGCUGCCCGUGUUCCGGAGGGGGAGACGACCGAGGGGAUUUGGGGGCGAUGCACGCAGGCGGGAUAGGGGCAUAGGAUGGACGGUCUGGGUAGAAGCCAUAGGACGGACGGUCCAGAUUAACAGAAGGGAGAACAAGGGGAGGCAUUCUACCCCCUUGUAGCCUUAAUAUAGUAGUAUAGAUAUAGAUUUACAAGCAACUAAAGCUAAUAAGGUCUAUUUAGUCUUUUAUUUCUUUGCUUGGUCCGAGCCGAAGCUAUUGAGCUUCGGCAUUCCGCAACAUUGCUUGUACACAAAGUCUUAGACUUGAGGAACAAAGCCAAGGUUGAUGAUAGUUUCGGUGAGCCUUCGUAUUAUCUUGCCAAAAGUGUUCUUGCCUUGAGGACCUUCGGCGGAGAAGAAGGCUUCCAACAAUGUCUAUAUUCAAAUAGAUGAUGAUAAAUCUAAACAGAUAUACAAAACACAUAUCAAAUGUUUAAAACAAAUUUUAAUUUGGGCGGAGGAGUAUUACUCUAUAUAUGAACAAUCAAAAUAAAGUUGGCUACACUUCAAAUUCUAUUAUCCAUUCUGGUAGUCCAAUCUUUGUAUACCACACAAUUUGUAUCCAAGAAUCCAGCAACAUUAAAAUCAAACACUCACAAUCCUCCCUCAUGCUUGAACUCAAUUCAAGGGCCCAAAGGUCGUGGUUCUUUCUGUGACCUGGCUUCAACACCGAUGGAGCUGUCAGAAUCUGCACACAUUGAUACUCACAGAAGGAAAAAAAACUUGCCAACACUGGUAAGAUUGUAACAUUUGGAGCAGACAUACAUGUCAAUUCAGGAAUCCUAAUUUUAUGUUGUUGAUUUUUAUUUAUGAUCAAUUAUCAAAACACCUGCUAAGACUCGAUUGAUUUGUGUUUUGAGAAGACACCAUAGACGCUAACGACACAUACGUAGCUAGGCCUAAGAGAAGUACUGGCAAGAUCAUUCUAAACACCAGCUUAACAGAAUUACUGGAAAGAUCAUUCUAAACAAUAUUCGCACAUUUGCCUACGACCCCAUCAUCAUAGGUCUCCUGUAGCUCUUCCACAAGCUUG
rnacentral:lncRNA from 1 species